rnacentral:lncRNA from 1 species
CCUAGUCGAUCGAGCGAUCGAUCGACCGCAUGAUGUCGAAUUCUGUAGCAGAAAAGAAAAAUAUAUAAAGAGGUCAAAGAGAUCAAUCAUUUAAUUAAGCGGAUGAAACAUAUAAAGAGUAAUCACUAGAAUGCUUCUUAACUGUGGCUUGAGUAAUAAGAGAGGACUCUCAAACUGAAAAAAUCAAAUUAAAGAGAGGAAGAAAGUUUUGAGAUUAUGCUCACCGCAAGGCACUGGAAACUCUGUGCUUGCAAUAUUAUGUAUGAGCAGGAGUGAUUAGUUAAGAAAUUUGAUGUUAUGUUAUCAGAUGAAGUUUCGGUAAGAGAAAUAGUGUCCUGCAUACCAAGUAUUUAAUUGGCUCAGGUAAAAGUUUCAUGAUCUAUUAUUUCUUCUAAUGAAGGAGUGAAUUUCGGUAUUUUCUAAUUAAGCACUGGUAAAAUCACAGCAGAAUCUGAUUUCUGAGGGAAAUUUCGAGUUGCAAGUACAAGUCCAUUUAAGUUAUAGAUUGUCACAAGAAGCAUUUCCUCAUCCAUCCCGAUCACAGUUACUGUACAAGCAUCCAUAUGGACCAUAUGGUCCAUGCAUGUGCAAGCACAUUAUUUUCAUAUUUUGUACUAGGUGCCUUGGUAAGAUCAACUAGCAACCUUGACCAUUCUUGCUCACAUACACUAUGGCAGUAUCAUCAAUAUCAGACUAGCAGUUGAUGCAUCAGGAAACAUCCGGUUGUAAGACUGACAUCCCUUGGGACCAUCCAUUACACAGCACUAUUAGUAUGAGCAUACAAGAAAGUUUAACAUUUUGUCAAGCAAACAAGGUAAUAGGUCUGGAGCUAUUCUUACUGCUGUAUUGCCUUACUUUGUGCAUUUUGAUUUGGCAUAGUCUUCAAAAUUAAACUUUAACCAUUUAUUUAUCUUAUAAUAUAUUCUCAAUGGCUACAAAACCAAUAUCAUGUCAUGUGAAAACGCUUGAAAAUACGAAUUUUUUAGUAUAUUCUUUAUAGACUACACAAGCAUAUUCUUUAAUAAAAAACAAGAAACAAGCAUAAAAAUCUAUGAUAUUAUAAAGAUAGCUCGAAAAGAAGACACCAUGUCCACUCUAAAGGCUAGAAAUUACAAUAUUAAUCAGAGAAAAACAGAAGAAAUUAAAUCGUUAUAGUGGGGGUCUAGAUUAUAGCGGUGUAGAUUGAUCGAUAUAGAUGCAAACAAAGUAUAAUGUUGUAUGUGAAAUCAUAUAUAGAGAUAGAAGUUAAGAGUUGUACGUGAAAUCUAAAUCUGAAAAAUAUAGUUACAUCCAUAGAAACAGAAUUUACUUAAAAUUGAAGAGUUGUAUAUGAAAUCCAAAUCUAAUAGAAGCUAAGAGUUAUAUGCGAAAUCCAAAUUUGUUUUUAUAGAAAAUACAUUUACAAAGAUAGAAUUUAAAAGUUGUAUAUCAACUCUAACUCUACUUCAAUCAUCUAGCUCGGCACAAAACUGCACACAGAAUCUCCUAGUUUGACUAAUGUUGGCCAAACUUGUAAGGUUUGGUUUAUUUUCUUCAAUGCGUCCAUGACUUACAAAAUUUAACAGAAGGAGACAUUUUUAUAUUUCUUUUGACGGAAAUAUAAGUUUUUAAUACCUGAUAGCAAGCCAUCAGAUGUGUGCCAAAAGGUGAUAACAGUGCUGUACUAAAAAUGUCUGGGAGGCACGUGCCAAUAAUGUAUGCUGUUUCCAUACUGACCUGGGACAAAAAUGCUCCCUUGAAUAGUUUCUUGGUGUAUGAGAAGCAGGAUAUAAUCUUGCCAUCUUUGGAAUUAGAUUCUAUGGCCAUUCACUCCGUAUCUAAACCAAAUGAAUAUAAGCAUCAUUUGAUUUAAUUGAUCAGAAGCAAACAGUAGCUUGGAAUGGACCGAACAGCAGAGUCUGCCACAAUCUGCCUCCUCUGCAUCUUGAGCAUCACUAUUCGCAUCAUAGAAGGCAAUGAUCAUAAGACGUACUUAUGAUCAUCAUCAGUUCUGAAGGUAAUGGAAUUAUCAGGCAGACUGGCAAAUGUUGUAUGGUUACCAGGUAAGAACCUACACAAAAAAAAAGUGACAUGUUAACCUUCUUAAUGACGCUGUAAAAUAAAAAGCAACUGAUACCAUGAAAGAGACACCAGGACACAUUAACUCACCUCUCAGUUAUGC